rnacentral:rRNA from 1 species
AUUGAACGCUGGCGGCAGGCUUAACACAUGCAAGUCGAGCGGAGAGAGGUAGCUUGCUACCGAUCUUAGCGGCGGACGGGUGAGUAAUGCUUAGGAAUCUGCCUAUUAGUGGGGGACAACAUUUCGAAAGGAAUGCUAAUACCGCAUACGUCCUACGGGAGAAGGCAGGGGAUCUUCGGACCUUGCGCUAAUAGAUGAGCCUAAGUCGGAUUAGCUAGUUGGUGGGGUAAAGGCCUACCAAGGCGACGAUCUGUAGCGGGUCUGAGAGGAUGAUCCGCCACACGGGGACUGGGAAACGGCCCAGGCUCCUACGGGAGGCGGCAGUGGGGAAUAUUGGGCAAUGGGCGCAAGCCUGAUCCAGCCAUGCCGCGUGUGUGAAGAAGGCCUUAUGGUUGUAAAGCACUUUAAGCGAGGAGGAGGCUACUUUAGUUAAUACCUAGAGAUAGUGGACGUUACUCGCAGAAUAAGCACCGGCUAACUCUGUGCCAGCAGCCGCAGUAA